rnacentral:rRNA from 1 species
UACAGAGGGGGCAAGCGUUGUUCGGAAUUACUGGGCGUAAAGGGCGCGUAGGCGGCCUGUUAAGUCGAACGUGAAAUCCCCGGGCUCAACCCGGGAACUGCGUCCGAUACUGGCAGGCUUGAAUCCGGGAGAGGGAUGCGGAAUUCCAGGUGUAGCGGUGAAAUGCGUAGAUAUCUGGAGGAACACCGGUGGCGAAGGCGGCAUCCUGGACCGGCAUUGACGCUGAGGCGCGAAAGCCAGGGGGAGCGAACAGG